UACGGGGGGGGCGAGCGUUGUUCGGAAUCACUGGGCGUAAAGGGCGCGUAGGCGGCCCGCACAAGUCUGCGGUGAAAACCCCCGGCUUAACCGGGGGCCGGCCGUGGAAACUGUCGGGCCGGAGGCCGGGAGAGGGCAGCGGAAUUCCCGGUGUAGCGGUGAAAUGCGUAGAGAUCGGGAGGAACACCGGCGGCGAAGGCGGCUGCCUGGACCGGCCCUGACGCUGAGGCGCGAAAGCUAGGGGAGCAAACAGG
rnacentral:rRNA from 1 species